rnacentral:rRNA from 1 species
UGGGGAAUAUUGGACAAUGGGCGCAAGCCUGAUCCAGCCAUGCCGCGUGAGUGAUGAAGGCCUUAGGGUUGUAAAGCUCUUUCAGUGGUGAAGAUGAUGACGGUAACCACAGAAGAAGCCCCGGCUAACUCCGUGCCAGCAGCCGCGGUAAGACGGAGGGGGCUAGCGUUGUUCGGAAUUACUGGGCGUAAAGGGCGUGUAGGCGGAUCGGUCAGUCAGUGGUGAAAGCCCCGGGCUCAACCUGGGAAUUGCCUCUGAUACUGCCGAUCUAGAGUCCGGGAGAGGGUAGUGGAAUUCCCAGUGUAGAGGUGAAAUUCGUAGAUAUUUGGAGGAACACCAGUGGCGAAGGCGGCUCACUGGCUCGAUACUGACGCUGAGGUGCGAAAGUGUGGGGAGCAAA